GGGCAAUUAGCUCAGUUGGUUAGAGCGUCACAUUGACAUUGUGAAGGUCACUGGUUCGAAUCCAGUAUUGCCCACCA
rnacentral:tRNA from 1 species